GUGCCAGCAGCCGCGGUAACACCGGCAGCUCAAGUGGUGGCCAUUUUUAUUGGGCCUAAAGCGUUCGUAGCCGGCCUGAUAAGUCUCUGGUGAAAUCCUACAGCUUAACUGUGGGAAUUGCUGGAGAUACUAUUAGGCUUGAGGUCGGGAGAGGUUAGCGGUACUCCCAGGGUAGGGGUGAAAUCCUAUAAUCCUGGGAGGACCACCUGUGGCGAAGGCGGCUAACUGGAACGAACCUGACGGUGAGUAACGAAAGCCAGGGGCGCGAACCGGAUUAGAAACCCCCGUAGUCC
rnacentral:rRNA from 1 species